AUGGUACAUCAAUCUGCACCUCAGAGAAGCUGUGCAUUGUACCAUCAUGUGAUACUUGCUAAAACAUGGGCCCCAGAAUGUGGCCGCACUAUGUUAUCUGGGAUAACACAGGAAAUAGUUCUGGGAUUUCAGGAAAUAAUUCAUUUUUAUUCUGAGUCCUUUCUCUUUAGAUUCAAGACAGCCCCAAUGACAGACACCAUGUUGUGCUCAGUUACUCCUAACUUCAAACCUGUGGCCUACUCCUCACAUCAGAAUUUUUGAGCCUAAAAACUGACUAUCAUAAGCAUAAAUGAAGACAUUUGGAAGCCUGCUAACACCUGUAGAAAAGCCCUGACUUUGGAAAGCUUGUAAGGUUGGUAAGUUUGACUUGAUAAUUCCUCAGCUGUCUUCAUUUCAGUGUUUUCCCACCACAUACCCACCGAGGAACAUUCUUAUAGGUUCCCAAUUGCCUAAACGUCUACUCCAUAUGCACAAAUAUUUUUCCUAUAUGUAUCAGUCUGCUACUUUUAUGUAACAAAGCACCCCAAAACCUAAUGCCUAACAUUUUAAGCUUUAAUUUAAUAAUCAGUUAUUAUUUCUCAUGAGCUGUGGGUGGGCUGACCAGUACUGAUCUAAAACAACAUGAACUGAUCUCAAAUAUGUUUGCUGCUAAUUCAUUCUAUCAUCAACUAGCUAAUCAACAGGGGUUCGCAAUCCAGACUAUUCCAAUCUUGUUCUCAUGGAUAUGGCAGGAUUUUGAGAGAGAUUUCUUAUGGCUUAAAUGUGGAUUUUGUAUGCUGUUAUUUCUGUCACAUUUUAUUAGCAAGUAACAAGGCCAGACUCCAUUUCUUAAUGGGAGGAGCUACAAAGUCAUAUUGCAAAAGGCAUGAUUACAGAGAAUAGAAUGGGCCAUUUUUGCAAUCAAUCUACCACCAAAUCUUACUUGUCCUUUUGCCUACCCUCUCAGGAUAUAGCUAAGCAAUGGCUAAUAAUAGCCCACUAAUCAAGAUGAUGACUUCUUCAAGGAUAAUGAUGACUAAAUCUUUAAACUUGGUAUCCUUGGUUAAAGCAAGCUCUCAAAAAAUAUUUGUUGAAAUGGCAAGAAACUAAUUUACAAAGAUAUCUUAAUACUUACUGUGGAAAAUGCCUUUCCUACCUUUUCUCCUCUAAGAGUUAAGUGAACAAUUUUAAUAACAUGUUUUAUAGAAUGCUAUUGUAUUGAUUCAGACUAUUACACAUUACUGGAAAAAUUUAAAGCUGUAAUUACACUACAUAGCAUAUU
rnacentral:lncRNA from 12 species